GAGUUUGAUCCUGGCUCAGGACGAACGCUGGCGGCGUGCCUAAUACAUGCAAGUAGAACGCUGAAGAGAGGAGCUUGCUCUUCUUGGAUGAGUUGCGAACGGGUGAGUAACGCGUAGGUAACCUGCCUUGUAGCGGGGGAUAACUAUUGGAAACGAUAGCUAAUACCGCAUAACAAUAGGUGACACAUGUCAUUUAUUUGAAAGGGGCAAUUGCUCCACUACAAGAUGGACCUGCGUUGUAUUAGCUAGUAGGUGAGGUAACGGCUCACCUAGGCGACGAUACAUAGCCGACCUGAGAGGGUGAUCGGCCACACUGGGACUGAGACACGGCCCAGACUCCUACGGGAGGCAGCAGUAGGGAAUCUUCGGCAAUGGGGGCAACCCUGACCGAGCAACGCCGCGUGAGUGAAGAAGGUUUUCGGAUCGUAAAGCUCUGUUGUAAGUCAAGAACGAGUGUGAGAGUGGAAAGUUCACACUGUGACGGUAGCUUACCAGAAAGGGACGGCUAACUACGUGCCAGCAGCCGCGGUAAUACGUAGGUCCCGAGCGUUGUCCGGAUUUAUUGGGCGUAAAGCGAGCGCAGGCGGUUUGAUAAGUCUGAAGUUAAAGGCUGUGGCUCAACCAUAGUUCGCUUUGGAAACUGUCAAACUUGAGUGCAGAAGGGGAGAGUGGAAUUCCAUGUGUAGCGGUGAAAUGCGUAGAUAUAUGGAGGAACACCGGUGGCGAAAGCGGCUCUCUGGUCUGUAACUGACGCUGAGGCUCGAAAGCGUGGGGAGCGAACAGGAUUAGAUACCCUGGUAGUCCACGCCGUAAACGAUGAGUGCUAGGUGUUGGAUCCUUUCCGGGAUUCAGUGCCGCAGCUAACGCAUUAAGCACUCCGCCUGGGGAGUACGACCGCAAGGUUGAAACUCAAAGGAAUUGACGGGGGCCCGCACAAGCGGUGGAGCAUGUGGUUUAAUUCGAAGCAACGCGAAGAACCUUACCAGGUCUUGACAUCCCGAUGCUAUUUCUAGAGAUAGAAAGUUACUUCGGUACAUCGGUGACAGGUGGUGCAUGGUUGUCGUCAGCUCGUGUCGUGAGAUGUUGGGUUAAGUCCCGCAACGAGCGCAACCCCUAUUGUUAGUUGCCAUCAUUCAGUUGGGCACUCUAGCGAGACUGCCGGUAAUAAACCGGAGGAAGGUGGGGAUGACGUCAAAUCAUCAUGCCCCUUAUGACCUGGGCUACACACGUGCUACAAUGGUUGGUACAACGAGUUGCGAGUCGGUGACGGCAAGCUAAUCUCUUAAAGCCAAUCUCAGUUCGGAUUGUAGGCUGCAACUCGCCUACAUGAAGUCGGAAUCGCUAGUAAUCGCGGAUCAGCACGCCGCGGUGAAUACGUUCCCGGGCCUUGCACACACCGCCCGUC
rnacentral:rRNA from 1 species